rnacentral:rRNA from 1 species
CCUACGGGAGGCAGCAGUGAGGAAUAUUGGUCAAUGGACGCGAGUCUGAACCAGCCAAGUAGCGUGAAGGAUGACUGCCCUAUGGGUUGUAAACUUCUUUUAUAUGGGAAUAAAAUGUUCCACGUGUGGGUUUUUGUAUGUACCAUAUGCAUAAGGAUCGGCUAAUUCCGUGCCAGCAGCCGCGGUAAUACGGAGGAUCCGAGCGUUAUCCGGAUUUAUUGGGUUUAAAGGGAGCGUAGGUGGAUUGUUAAGUCAGUUGUGAAAGUUUGCGGCUCAACCGUAAAAUUGCAGUUGAAACUGGCAGUCUUGAGUACAGUAGAGGUGGGCGGAAUUCGUGGUGUAGCGGUGAAAUGCUUAGAUAUCACGAAGAACUCCGAUUGCGAAGGCAGCUCACUGGACUGCAACUGACACUGAGGCUCGAUAGUGUGGGUAUCAAACAGGAUUAGAUACCCUUGUAGUC